rnacentral:misc_RNA from 1 species
UCUCCGUUGGUGAACCAGCGGAGGGAUCAUUACCGAGUUUACAACUCACAAACCCCUGUGAACAUACCCUUUGUUGCCUCGGCGGUGCCUGCUUCGGCAGCCCGCCAGAGGACCCAAACCCUUGAUUUUUUCCUGUAUCUUCUGAGUAAAUGAUAAAAUAAAUUAACACUUUCAACAACGGAUCUCUUGGUUCUG